rnacentral:tRNA from 1 species
GCCGGAGUGGUGGAACUGGUAGACACGCGGCACUUAGGAUGCCGUGCUUCGGCGUGGGGGUUCGAGUCCCCCCUCUGGCA